rnacentral:sRNA from 1 species
GACCUGACUCUCUGAGGCUCAUUUUGCAGUUGUUGAAAUUGUCCCCGCAGUUUUCAAUCAUGGGACCACCGCAGUGAGGUCUCGCAGCGGGGGAGAGACAGUGUACUCAACUCCCUGAAAACUUAUUUUUACUAGCUGAGAUUCCGGAUGAAGUUACCAGUUCAUACUGCAUAUACAAACUCAAAUAUGUUAUCAGCAUGUAGAUGACUUGAUAGCUUUAUUCCUUGCAAUUCAAAAUACUGGAAUUGUAGAAUUAAAAGGGAAUUUGGAGAUUAUAUUAUCUACUCUUAUAAUGUAGUCUGGUGAGGUCAGAUAAUUUUCCCAAGGUCACAGAGAUUUUGGGCCCCAGAUUCUUAGCUAGUUUCCCUAGCAAGGCCCCACCGUUGGAAGGUCACUGGGGUGCCAGAUAACACAGAGACAGAACAUGAGGAAGAAUUUGUCUGGCAGUUUGCUGGAACUGACAGCAAACUCACACAUGACUCAAUUUCCCUGCCCCCUCAGGAGGGUGUGUGAAUGGACAGAGUUAGAAAAGAGCCUUCUUCUGUAAGCUCAUUCAAAGCGGAGGAUUCUUUGCUUGUUGUCUAUAGGGAGUGACAGCAAAAUAAACUGUAUGAAGGAAUCUAAAUGGUAUGC